rnacentral:ncRNA from 2 species
AAAGUUUGCCAGGGGUGCCUUUUUUAGGCUGAGAUAAUACCCUUCGAACCUGAUUUAGGUUAACACCUACGAAGGGAGUGCCGAAAUGCAUAAUU